UCUUACGAAUGAGCAAAGAAAGUGGUUUCUUGAGAUAGCAUCUACUCCUGAUGAAGAUGUUGUGAA
rnacentral:pre_miRNA from 1 species